UAAUAAACACGUCAAUCGAAGUAAAGAAUUUAAUAUCCAAGAAAAAAAUGCUGAAUAUGUAAAGCAUCAUUUAUUAUAGAAUUAAAAUGAUAUACCAAUUAUACGGGUUACAUCUUAAAAAAGAUGAUUAUCUUGGAAAGGAUACACAGGUGAACAAAGUUAAGGAACGCGUGAAAAUCUAAAGUUUAAAUAAAAGAGAAGAAAUUUCCGAUGGCUGUGGGAAUGUAACAAAAUUUUAAAGUAGCGAUUUAAGAUAAUCAAUCAUCUACAAACACGUUUUCGGCCACAGCGAAUACGUUCACCACUAAGAAUGUCGGUGGUGCGCUCUCAAAGUAAAAAAAAAGAGUUCAAUGGACUGGCACUGGUUUCAC